AACGUAGGACGCAAGCGUUAUCCGGAGUUACUGGGCGUAAAGCGCGGGCAGGCGGUCUGAUGCGCCCGAUGUGAAAGCGCCCGGCUAAACCGGGCGAGGCCAUUGGAAACGGUUGGACUGGAGGGCAGUAGGGGCAGGCGGAAUUCCGGGUGGAGUGGUGAAAUGCGUAGAGAUCCGGAGGAACACCAGUGGCGAAGGCGACUUACUGGACGACCGUUGACGCUGAGGUGCGAAAGCGUGGGGAGCAAACAGG
rnacentral:rRNA from 1 species